GGCAGGUGGCAUAAGUCGGCAGGACUGACUCCUCUGGAACACCGUGAAGGAGGUGGUCUUGGCUUCUUCACUCCCUCUCAGGGCUUGGCAGAGACACUGGUCCUCAGCAGGUUAAGUGAGAGUUCACUGCCCACGCUGGACUCCCAGGGCCAGGAAGAAAGGAAGUGAACAGCAGAAGGACACCUGCAAGGACUUCCCACCAGCAUAUCAUCCAUCUCAGAGACUUGAAUCCCCUGGGUCCUACCAAACCAUGUUCACCCAUGUGACACACCACCUACCUCAAGCUCCUCCUUUGAACCUCCUGUGUUCACAGGUGCCUUCCUCUCCAGGCCUUCCACACAAAUCAUCGACUCGCUCUUGGAUUUCUACAUUUCUCCUUGAGCAGAAAGGACAAAGCUGAUUUAAGUGCAGGGAGCCUGUCAGUGGAGCAGAAGCGAG